rnacentral:misc_RNA from 1 species
CAGCUCAUCGUCUUUCUUUAUCUACUUGACAAUGACACUUCAUGGAUGAUACUUGCAAGUUCUGGAAUUGGUUGCUGUAUUGAGUUUUGGAAAAUAGGGAAAGCCAUGCACAUAGAGAUUGAUAGAAGUGGAAAGAUACCUAUGUUGAAGUUCCGAGAUCGUGAGUCUUAUGCAGGAAAUAAGACAAAGGAAUAUGAUGACCUUGCAAUGAAGUAUUUGUCUUAUGUGCUCUUCUUUCUUGUUGCAUGCUCUUCUGUUUACUCGCUCAUGUAUGAGCGCCACAAGAGCUGGUAUUCUUGGAUUCUCUCUUCACUCACAAGCUGUGUGUACAUGUUUGGUUUUAUUAUGAUGUGCCCUCAGCUGUUCAUAAAUUAUAAGUUGAAAUCUGUGGCUCAUCUACCAUGGAGGCAGAUGACGUACAAGUUCCUGAAUACCAUAAUUGAUGAUCUCUUUGCAUUUGUCAUAAAAAUGCCAACACUACAUCGGCUUUCUGUCUUCCGUGAUGAUGUCAUAUUUUUGAUAUAUCUAUACCAGCGAUGGAUUUAUCCAGUGGACAGUUCACGUAUAAAUGAAUUUGGUUUUGGUGGUGAGGAUGAGCAGGUCGCCAGUGCGGAUGUAAUUCCUGCAAAACCUGAAGAGAAGAAAACCAAUUGAGUUGGGUUUUUGUCGAUCUUUUGAAACUAAAUUGCAGAAUAUAACUGUAAAAUUCAGAAACCUUUUUUU